rnacentral:lncRNA from 1 species
CUGCGGAGCGGUGCCCCCUGCCCCGCACGGGCAGGCGGGAGGGGCCGCGGGCCGGGGGCGCGCGGACGGGGAGCGCCCGGGGCGGCAUGCCCGCGGGGGCGCGCACGCGGGGCUGCGGGACGAGGCGCGGGGCCCGGGCGGCGAAUCCGCUGCUCGCCCCGCCCGCCCCGCCCGCGCGCGCCGGCCCGAAGAGGAGGGUGCGCGGCGGAGGGGGGAAGCGGGAAGGGGCCGCGCCCCGUCCUCGCCCGUAGCGGGCAUGGCCGGGGGCCCCGGGAGGCCUCGUUGGUAUUCUGGGCACAGCCAAAGUGUUGACCUCCCCUCGGAACAGGGGCGCCAGGGUGCGCGGGCACGGCCACCACCCCCGGGCGGUCUCCCGGAGCUGCGGGGCCCAGAGGCGCCUUGCUCCCCCCACCGUCCCCUCCUCUCCGGGUCUCCCGUACCCCCUCCCCUGCCUCGAUCCGGCGGCGAAGGGGUGGGCAGGGAAACGCGCUCUCUGGGACAGGUGCCAACUCCGAGACAAAAGACAUAAAAUAGGCGGCAACGGGGGAAGCGCGGCCGGCGCGCUCGGGCGGGGACGGAGGCGCCGCGGGGGCCGCAUCCUCGGUGCCGACCGGGGAAAGUUUGGGAACUCGCCGCAGCGGCUUCGCAGCGGCGGGGGACGCUCGGGCCGGGCCGCCCUCCGCGCCGCGCUCACCCUCUCCGCGCCGCUGCUGAAUAAUUCAUGGCGCGGCCGCCGGCCAUUAGCAUGCACCGGGCGCGCGGCGCGUCUGUGCCAAGCCGCCGCCGCCGCAUUCGGCGCCCGGGCCGCGCCAGACGAGCGGCCGCGCGGAGGCCGGGCCCGCGCUGUCCCCGCGGUCGCCCGGCGGCGCCCAUUGUGCCCUCGGCCCGCGCCGCCCGGCCGCCCCGAGCCCGGCCGCAACCCGCAGCGCGCCCGACGGCCCGGCGCUGCAAGUUGGGGCCCGCGGCGCCGGCCCGCCCGCCCCGGGAUGCACGUGAACUUGGAGAAAGUCGCGGGGCGCGCCGGCCCGGACCUCCGCGGCAGGGCGUGGGCGUCCCCCGCCAGGCGCGCUUUCGUUUUCGUCCGGGACAAAGGUCCUCGCGGCGCUGGUCGCAGACACGGAGACCAGGUACUGCGGGCCACUCUUCGUUGAGGUCCGGUCGUUCAAUCCAGGAAAGCCGGAGCCGGGAGAAAGAGGAGCGGCGCGAUGCGGGACCGGGGAAGUGGGGCCUGGCCGUGCGCUUCGCCGGCGCUGCCCCGGAGCCGUCCCCGCUGCGGAGAGUUGCGGGAGAUGGCAUCGCUCUGCUCUCUGCCGUUUCGGCGCCUGAAGGAGGGAAGCAUUUGGAACCCAGGACUCAGACCGAUGACCCAGGGCCUUUGCAGCCGCGGGCACGGCAGCCUAGCGCCGGCUGCUUCCGAGCGCGUUCCUCCAGCAAGGGCACGGCUGUCGACCUGCGCGCCCCGGGUCGCGAUCGGGUUCAAGGCGACUCCUGAGAACGGGCCAGCCCCAGGAUGGCCCCUCGCCUGCACUUCGCCAUGCCUGGCCUCUGGCCACUACGAGGCCCGAGAACUUCCUGAGUGACGGGGCUCCAGCUGCUGGCAGGGGCUGGCUGCUCAGCAUGGGCAGUGUGUGGUGAUGAGGCCUCCACUCUGGCGGGUCCCGGAGCAUGCUGCCUGAACUGGUGCGGACAGCACUCUGCUCAGUGGAAACAGCAGGAAGCUUUCCACUGGGGUGACUUUUGGUCCGUGUGCUUUGCACCUGACUGGGGCCAACUCUCUAUGAACCAGUCUCACUUGCUCCCAUCCUCAGCAGGGUGCUGGGGCCUGUCCUGCCCUGGCGUGGACUGGGCCUGACUGGAAGACAGCCCGUGGGGCCGAGGGAGGGACCAGGGACUUUGUCCGCCCUGAUGGGCACCUUGCCUGGAUGGGUGCUCUCUUGUACUCAGGGAAAUCCCUUGCGAGGCACCGAUGUGUGCUCCCACUGAGGCCCUUCCAUGCCAGGCAGGAAACCAUCUUAAAACCACCAGCCUUGGUGGUGGUUGUUGGGCUUGGAAGGGUGUAUUUGCAUAUUUGGGGAGAAGGGAGAAUACUCGUGCAGAAGUCCCAUUAAGCUGGAGUGUCCCAGCUCACAUCCGGGCAGCUGCGGUCCAGCCCCUGCCCCUGGCUCACCGUGUGACCCUGGACAAGUCACAUCACCUUCCUGGGCCUGUACCCUGAGCUCAGGAGCAGGAGGGUCGUUGGGAGGGUUCAGAUGACAUUAUUUCCACAAAGCACAGUUCCUGGCACGUGGCAGGGACGCGGUAAAUGGCUGCUGCUGCUUGUUAUCGUUGUAAAUGGUAAUCGCCAUUUUUAUUGCUAGUUACUAUAUUUUUGAGUUUCUAGGGAACAGAAAGCCCAGUUUUGGUUGCACCAGAAAAGACACCUGGAAGUUUCCUCCCCCUCCCCCCGCCAGGUGGUAGUGCAAGUGCACCUUGAGGAUAUUUUCUUCAAGGUAGACUGUCAGGAGCCUGCAGAGGGGGCUUUCCUUGUCAGGGGGACUUGGCCUGGAAGCACUGGGUACACUGGAUGGGACCAGGCCCCUGGAGUCCUCCCAAGAGGUCCCCUGAUGCCCCUCGCAAGAAUGGCACUUGAAGAGCUCACCUGGGUGCUGGCCCCGGGGCUCAGACCCCGAAAGAUGAGGGCAAGACAUCCUGACUGCGAGGUCCGGAGGGGCCAUGCCAGCCACCAGCAUCCUUGCUGGCAACAUGGGUGGCAGUUCCGUGGGAGGGUUUCACCAUUCUGAUGGGCUAAUUGUUCCUUAGCCUGAUACAAGCCUACGUUUACCAAAAUGCUGGCUUUGGGAGAAUUUUAUCUCUUAGCUGAUCGUUCAGGAAGACCCAGCAAGAUGGCCCUUUCUCAAAACAUCUUGUUGGAACAAGAAAGAACCAUAAAUGGCAUCAGCCAUGCUUUUCUGAUGUUAUGCGGCCGAGGAGGGAGAAAAAGUAACAAUUGUCUCCGAGUGAAGACAAUGGACCUUUUAUAUGAAAUAUUUAUUUUCAGGGCCAACCAGUGUCCCGUUGGCUGGGACAGUGGAGCUCGAGUGUCUGGGUGUUGCGGGCCCUGAGAACUCAGGGACGAGAUUUACAGAAAAGGAAGAAAGAAAGUCCCCACCCGUGGUUCUUGGGAAACUUCAGUGGGAACGGCUGGCUUUCUUUAUCAAGUGGAAUUUAAACUUCCACGAGUUUCUUUUUUCUUCUGUGAUUUCUUUUGAAAGACCCGCAGGGGCACAUUCGCAGCCCCGGAAAGAUAGCUGGGUUUUGGCUCUUGGGCUGGAUGGCUCCCUCGGGCCAGGCCCUGUUGGCCUUUGUCUGCUGGGGGGUGGCAGAGUGCAAGUGAGAAAAACAGGACUGGAAGAGGAAGGGUCUGUCCCUGAGGGUUGGGGGGAGCCCGCCGAGUGCGAUUUGGGACAGUAUUUGUGGUUCUCCGGUGUCCUUUACUCCUCCCCAAAUCCCGUUCUGUGAUGAACUCAGGAGCGGCCUGCAGGUUAUUGGAGUCUGGCCUGACUUGGCAGAGCCACACACAGACCCUCAAACACUGUCCCCAGCUGGAGAGGGUAUGUUUGUAACUCUUGGAUGGAUGUUUUCUGAAUUAAUAGAAUGAACAGAAUUUCACUGAGGCCUACCCAUGAGCCACCUCCCUCUUGCCUUCGCGGCUGCCGGGAUGGUGCUGGAGCAGCUGGACUCGGUUCCUGCUAAAUUCACAGUCUCAGUGUAGCCGGGAAGGCGCCCUGGGAAGCGAGGCUCAUGUUAGGGACCCGAGGAGGAAUUGAUGGGGCUGGGGCUUGUGAGGAGAGUGUCAGGGAGCGGGUCUUCCCAGCAUUUGGGGCACAAUGGGAAGGCCUGGGACAGUUGGCCCAGGACCCUGGCCAACUUAGGGGGUCCUCAGUCUGGAUGCCCCUACAAAGCGGAUGGAGGACAGAAGGAGUCGCCCGGAUCAGGGUGUGGGGGGCCCUCCCUUCCAUGCGUCCCCUAACCCAAAGACUUUGUUGGCAAAUAAUAUAUUUGGCUUCAAAAAGGAGGUUUUGUUUUUUAAAGCUGCUGUCACCUAUAUUUAUUUUUUAAUCCUGGAAGCUGUUGACUGUGAUCUCUUUCACCUUCUGCGUUAACCUGCCCCCAAAAAUGCUAUGACGAGAGCUCUCUCUCGGGGGUGACCACAACAGAGCCUCUGAGGCCAUGAGUAGAAUUGUAAAAAUGGGAGUGGAAAAGACUGAAAUUUCGUGACCUGGGUCAGAAAAACCCUAACACACAGGCUUUUAUUCACUUUUGGGGAGGAAGGGUUCAAAGUAAAAUGCUGCCCGGUCUUCUUGCGAAAUUUUGGGUGGGAAGCUUGUUUGAGUCGGGGUCCGGGAGCCCUGCCUUUCGGGAGGGCUCAGAAACCCGCGUGGAUGGAUGAACGGAGCGUCUCGACAGCCGGUGGGGGCCGCUGCUCAGUUAGUGGCUGAGGGAUUUUCGGAGUGGAGAUGUGACCAGCGGAGGCCACGCUGAUUGUCGUCAAAUGAGACUGGUGGUUGUGGUUAGGAAAAUGUGUGCUGUGCAUGGGAUGUCCAAAGUAAAAGGCCAAUUUUUUUUUUUUAAGGGAGUAAUAGAAUUUUCUCUCAAGAUUAAAACAAGAACGUCAUCCCUGAUGCCUUUGGUUUCCAGUGCCGGGGCUGGGUUUUUCUGUGAAAUGCCUUCCUUUACGUCUUGGCUUUCCGAUGGCAGAAAGAGCCUCUAGCUGAAAUAUUUACCUGCUGAUUUGGGGCUCUUAAAUCUAGAUUUGCCUUUCAUGUGUUGAAGAGCGAUAUUUACAUUCAAAUCAGCCUUUUAUAAUUACAUUUUAAAUUAUAAUAAAACGAUGGUGGGGGGGGCGGCUUCAGUCUUCCAUGUGUUUAACAGGGAAAGUCGCUGGGCGAAUGGCGUGUGGCUUGCACAUCCCAUCGCCAGACCUGCCCAGGCUCAGAGCAGGUGCCUGAAGUACAGAUUCUGGCCUGCAGGGUCACACGUGUGUCCUGAGCAUGUCAGGGUCCGUGGAUGUCGCCUGUGGAGCCCUCCCCGAUCUGCCUGGAGAAGAGUUUGUGGAUGGGGAUUCUGGCCCCAGCACAGUGGGGACGCUGCCAAACCUCAUGGCAUGCAGUUCCAGCCUGAUUCGGGCCUGGCUGCCCUGCCGCCCUGGCUGAUAUGUUGUGUCCUGAGCUUCACGCUGGCCCGCAGGCCUCGGGGUGGAGGCCAUUAUCUCCUAGGUGGCCAGCUGGGCACAGCAGCGGCCACUCCUGGUCGUGGCGAUACUGUGUGUGUGUUGGGGUGGGGAGUGCCCACCUCCUCCUGCAGCCGUAACCCAGGUUGUGCCUUCUCUCUCCUGUCAGGGCCGGCCCCAAAAUGGCCACCCAGUUUUCAGGGGCUUCCCUCGUGGAGUAUGGGGGGACCCUGUCCUCCCGGGGCCAGGCUGCUGGCAGCCGUGCCAAGCCCUUUCUGGAAUGGAAUUCCCAGCGUUCCUGGUCGGGCGCAUGGCAUCGGAAUCCUACCUGCUUUGUCUCUGGCAUCAGCUGGCGACUGGUCACGUGGCCUUGUGCAUAAGACCAGAGCCCGAGGACCAGAGGGCUCCUCCUGGCUGCUUCCUCCUCAUUCACUCGGUCCCCCCCUCCUUUCGCUUUGGGCAUGACAGUCUCUGAGCAGGCAUAAAGCAAUAUUAAAAUAAAAUGUACUCGAGGCCGCUGGGGAACUCCCAUCCCCAGAUGCCGAGGUGUCCAGGCCGCCGCUUACCUCCAGUCGUUACCAACAGAAAGGCCCGGAGCUGGGGUGUAAACUUACACAGCGGCCCAGCCACGGUCACUCGGUCACUCGUGCUGUCCCCUCCAGUUCAGCACGGAGCUGGCCCUGCCUGCCUGGGAGCCCCUUCCCACACUUGCAGCCUCGCGGCUCACCCUGCACAGGGAUAGCCUGGCGGUCGUUGCCUCAGCUCCUGGCCGCAUAAAAAGGCUGGAGGAGAGACUUGGGCAAACAGGUUGGCCACGCAGACCUGGCCUGCUGCCCGCAGGAGAGGGCAGCUGAGUCUGCCAAAUCUCCGAAUGAAAGUGCCCACAUUUAAACCAAGCCCACUGACCCGGGUCAGAGGGCCGAGCGUGGGCAUGGGUCACCUCUCCCCUUGGUGGUAAGGAUUGGCUUUGGUGAAACUGAAGGAUUUGUGGUGGUCUGAGAGGGAUAUGGUGACGUGCCUGGACUCUGGACCCCUCGUGACUGCUUGGCCACCUUUUGGCCCCUGUCUGCAUGGUGGCCGUGUCCUGAGUGCCGAUGACGUACCACGUGCCAUGCUCAGCACUCCGCUUGCAGUUUUGUCAUCAAAGCAGCCCUGAGUGGCAGGAGCCAUUAUCCCUAUUCUUUUUACAGAUGGGGAAACUGAGGCUGGGAGAGGCAGCGUGGCUUGCCCUGGGUUAGGUGGCCAGUUGGGCACAAGGCCAGAUUCAAACCUGUGACCACGGCCUCAGCUGCAACCGAACAGCCUCCCAGGGCCUUGGCUAGAAUGGGCUCCCUCCAAGGGCCGGCCAGGGAGCUGUUGGGGUGGGGGCUCUCGGCCUGGCCCGGGGAGCACAGCCGGGGUGCCGGCCGCCGCCUGCUCCUCUGCAGGGCCCGGCAUGGGAACAAUGCGGCCUCUAUCCCGGGAGUGAGCCCAGGCCGCCUGGACUCCCGGAGCAGCCGGCCAGGCCGCCUGCCCGCAACAUGGCGCCCGGGGCCGCGCCACCCGUCCACGGGGAGGGCUGGCGCCUGGGCCGGGCCUGGGCCAGCCGGCUCCCGGCGUCCCCCUCGGGCUGGCCGCUGAGUGGCCAGACGCUCCUGCUUCCUCCUCCCUCUCCCGCCUGGCCAGCCCCCCCUUCCUGCUGGUGGGUUUGGGGGUCCGGCCCACCCGCCUCUGCCACGUCUGCCAUCCUCCCGGCACCCAUGAGCAUCUUUCAAAAAUUCCCGGUGGGCGGGGCCGAGCCGCAGCGGCCGCCUCUGGCCCCCCCUCCCCGGGCAGCCAGUGCCAGAUGAGAGCAGGAGACAAAAGUAGCAUUUUCCUCGUCCUCCUGGGCUGGCAGCAGGGCCUCCCCCAGCGCCACUUGGCUCCUGGCAGCCCUGCCCCCGGGUGCCGUGGUGGCCGAGGCCCAGGCCGCACCGGCUAGGACCAAGGGACCGAUGGACGACGGUGGCCAGAGACCAGGAGGCCUGAGGGCCUGUCGGUCGGGGGCUGGCACCUGGAGACAGCCUGCUGGCCGGCAGGACCUGUCCUCCUCUGCCUGCCUCUGUGACCGGCAGGCAAGGGGACACCAUCUUCACCUCCUUGCUUUUGAGAACGCCCCUCGUCCUCCUGCGCCUUGGAACGUGGCUCCUCCCAGGGCACCCCCAAGAAAGUGGGCACCCAUCAUGGCCUUUGGAAGAUGCUCCGGGACUGCACCAGGUCUCACCCCUUCUUUCCAGCUGCUUCAUUCCCUGCGUGACACCGGAAGCUCGGACAACAGUGCCAGCUCAGGUCAAAAAGUGGUGGCGAGACAGGAGCUGCUGACCUCGGCCGAGCUUCCUCACCGUUCCCUCUGGCCUUCGCCGUCGACUGGGCAUGGCCUGAAGCAGCCACGGUCCACUGCCGGGUGUCUGCAUGGAAGAGGAGCGCUCAGCCUCAUCUCUCUGCAAUGCCGUGAACCAGCCCUCGAGGGUGUGAUUAAUACACACAGGCCGCCUGCCAUCCACCUGAGAUGCCACACAGGUGAAUCUAACCUGGAACAAGAAGAAAGGCCACAUGAGGGAAACUGAGUCACAUCUUCUCCUAGACUAGGGCACGGGGCGGGGCUUGUGGUGGCAGCCAGGAUGUGUGUCUCUUCCUGUGUGCCCCUCUCUCCCUGCCUCUCCCAACCCUGUGGAGCCCCGCCCGUGGGCUGGCCCAUCGCGUAGUCCCUGCCUCCCAGCUGGGGCUGGGGCCCUCCGGGGUCAGCACUGCAGGCUCUGGAGCUGAAGCCCAGGCCCAGGGGUGGGCAAGUGGGUCCAGGCCGCAGGGCAGGGGCUAUUGGAGUCCGCCUGGCACACACCCGUGGGUUCCAGCUCUGAUGUUAGUUAGGGUGGCCUGGCUGCUGCCCGGAUCCCCCCAGCUGGCUCUGCCUGGAGCAUCCUUGGGGAUGCCCUGGUCCCACCGCAGCCAAGGAGUCCGGGUAGAGGCAGGGGACUGGAAGUCGAGACACUCUCAUGCAGAUUUCUUUCUGGGGCCUUGAGGGAGCACAGGGGUCUGUGCUCACAGGCCGACCAGGUCCUGGGUUGGGGCUUCAGGCUGUGCUGGGACGUUCCUGGUCCCCCCUCCCAGGUGACUGCGCCUCAGUCUCCCAUUCUGGGUAGGCUGUGCCACGCAUGGGCGCUGAUGCUAUGGUCCCUGGUUGGGGUUCGUGGGACUUAGUCCCGCCCCUUGUGGGCAGGGCACACGCCUGCACAGGGUGUUGUCAGCACAGCGCCUGACACCCAGGGGUUCGGGGGCAGCAGCUGCUUGCUGCUUGGGCCUGAGCACGAGACCUCCCUCUGCAGCCAUGGGCAAGGCCAAGCCUGGGAGAGCCUGAGAGGGAGCCCUCUGCUGACCUGGGGUCAGGGACCCUGCCCAUCUGAGCCUCAGUUUCCUCACCGAGAAAUGGGAUUGGUGAUCCUGGCCUUACCAGGCCUGUGAGGACCAAAUGGCACGGCCCAGCCUGGUGCCUGCCUGGAGGAGGCAGCCUGCUAGGAAGGGAUGUGGAAGGAGGUUUGAAGUUUCAGAGCUCAGAGCUCUCUUUGCACUUGACUAGGCAGAAAUCAGAACGUUCGGAGCUCUGCUCUGAUGCCAACGGCUGCGUGAACUUCAUGUCGCCUCUCUGGGUGGGCCUCAGUCUCAUCACCUGUGAGAUGGGUGGACAGUAGUCCUUGCCUCAUCGGCUUCACAGGGUUCCCCAGGAAGGUGGUGGCCAUGCCGGUGGCUGUUGUGGAUGUUUAUCGAGGCUGCCUCUGGGCCUGUGUGUCCCUCGAGGGUCCAGUUCUGGCCCAGCCACUCCCCUGGGAGCCAGGUUCCCUUUAGAAGAAAAGAACAGCAUCCAGAGGCCUCUUGCAAAGUGGGGGCGGCUCAGGUCACCCUAGAUGCAGGACCAGAUCAGCAGAGCCUGCGGGGAGGGAGUCGCACCUGUCCCGGGGGUGGAGGGAGCAGGCCCGCAGAUCACAGGGGCAUCUGGUGUGGCCAGGAGCCGGAGGCUGGGCUGUUGGUCGGAGGGUGGGCAGCCAUGUAGACACUCACGGCACCUUUCUGACACAUGGCCUCUAACAAUUGACAACCUUCCUCCCAGUGUCACUAAUGCAGAAGUCCCUUGGGGACAUGGUGACCACUCCUGUCCAGAUGGGAGUGGUCCAGUCGCCUGUAAGAGUUUCCCAAAAGCCACCUCGAACUUCUCCCCAUGCCCUCCCUCCCUCCCCUCUCUCUCCCCUUUUGGUUGGUGGCUUUCUCCUGGGGCACCCUCUCUGCGGUGGUGCUGCCGGCAGUUCGCUGGUGCCCAGGCCUUUUGCUGACCUGCCUGCCAGAGUCCCUGUCCCCUUAGCACCCAGAUGGCCUGGCCCCCAGCCCUGGUUCCCCAGUGCCUCUCCUCCUUCCAGGAGGUGCCUCUGGAAGCCGUGAAGUCCGUCCGGGAGCCAAGACUGACGGCCCUUUGGGGUGAGGUAGUAGGUUGUAUAGUUUGGGGCUCUGCCCUGCUAUGGGGUAACUAUACAAUCUACUGUCUUUCCUGAAGUGGCCGUAAUAUCAACGGUGGACAGCAUCCAGAACCCUGGCUGGGAGGGUCAUGGGUGGCAAGCUGGGGGUGGGGAGCAACCCUGCGGGGUGGGUGGCAGUGGCUGCCAUGCAGUAAGAAGACUGACAGGCCUAGGGUUCACUUGCUGUGUGAUCUUGGGCAGGUCCCUUAAUCUCUCUGGGCUUCAGUUUUCUCAUCUGUGAAAUGGGGGCAAGUGAGGAUUAAAGGAGAUAGUGUGUCAAGUGUCUAGGGUGGGGGGCUCGGAAUUGGCCCUUACUUCUCUACCCACUGUGCUGAGACCCAGUAGAUGCAUGGGACAGUUUGUGCAGCCUGCUCCCCUAUCCUGUGGGUGGCCCCAAGCACGUGUCUGGACUGUGCCCUCAGCUGUGUCCCUGUGGCCAGCGCUGGGCACCAGGAGGAAUUGCUGUGGGCUUGGCUGAGGUUGCAGGGCAGGGAGACCCACGGGUCUGCCUUCAUCAGUGCGUCCCCCAGACGAUGCUCCAGCCUGUCCAGCUCAGCGUCAGGCCUGGGGAGGGUGGGAGCCGGGGCCAUCCCUCCUUGUGGCUCAGCUCUCCCGAGCAGGAAGCGGGAGGGGCGUUGUCCCAGCCCAGCGAGCGCCCUCGGCCCCUCCGGCUCAGGCCCACCCUGCCCUCCAGCAGCCUGCAGGUGGACGGUAUGGGCUGCACUGCGUGGGGAAACCGAGGCACCAUCUGCAUUUUCGCUCCUGCCCUGCGCCUGCCCAGCCCUCCAGCUCAGCUCUGGUGGCUGCGGACCACCGGGCAGGGCUGGGCUGGGCGUGGGGCAGCGGCGGGCCACGGACCCUCCCGCCCCUGGGCGCCGGCGGGGUGAGGUAGUAGGUUGUGUGGUUUCAGGGCAGUGAUGUUGCCCCCUCGGAAGAUAACUAUACAACCUACUGCCUUCCCCGAGGAGCCCCGCGACACGUGCCCGCGGGAGGGCCCACCCCACGCGCCACGCUCCAGGGGGAUGCCGGGGCUCUGGCCGGGCAGUGGGAGGCCACAGUGUGCACACCUGACUGUAAUAAAAGCUGAUGUGAAACUGGAAUCUGGCCCCUUCUUCCUUCUGGAAGCCCAUGGGCUGGACGGCGGAGAGUGUGUGCGUGUUGGUGGUGCCAUGGGGGGCAUGUGUGUGGCCUGACUGAGGAGCUGCCACCUGGACCCUUGGGGUCACCAGGCCUCCCGUCUGCACCCCCGGCCCGCCCAUUCCAGCAGCCCUCAGACCCCUCCGAUGGGUUCAGUCCUAGACCCAGACCCAGCCCAUCCUCUACCCCACUCAUACCCCCUCCGAGGGCGGGGCUGUGGGACCCCGGCCCCAGAGGUGUUACUUGGCCCCCAGCCUGGUGGAGAAGCCCACCGGACAGCUGCCUUGUGGGUGGUACAGACCCCACAGGAGCUCCGAGCGCAGUCCGGGGCCUGGCCCCCUCGGCCCCCUCAGUACCUGGGGCUUGACUGGAGCCCGGAAGUUCCCGUCGUCCCAUACCCAGCUCCCCCAGGACAUUUCCAGGGUCGCCCUUGUUUCAGGUGUCCGUCCUUGGGCCGUGUGCCAUUGCAAGCAUUCAUUGUGUUUCUGCCUGAGGCCUUGGCUCUUGUGUUGGUGGCGGCCGCAGGCCUGUCCCUGUGAUCCCAGCCUGAGUGUUAGAAGGGGCCUGUCCGUGCCUGACCCAGUGCUGAGAGCACCCCUCCGGGGGCAACACCCUCCCCUGUACCCACGAUGCCCGGCACAGACCCCAGUAAGGCACCACCUUCCUAGCCAGAGCCAGCCCCUCAAGUCACCCCACAACCCCCUAGGAAAGACAGUUCCAGGCUGGCCCUUGCAACAGUGUGCACAGAACCGAACUCCACCGCACCCCCAAAUGCUGCUGCCUGACAACAGAGCUGACAGGACAGAAACAGUCCUCAGUUAGUGAUCUAGGACAGGGACCCUGUGACAGGGACCAGAAGAGGCUCUUGACCCAGCCAGGGGUCCGCAGAGGCCCCAUGUGGAGGGGCCAGCUGAGCUGAGCACCUCUUGGCCAUGCACACAGCAGCCUGGGGUCCUGGCGGGACCCAGUGCCCUCAGCCCUCCCACCUUGGUGAUUGUCUCCAAGCUGCAUCUUGGCCCCAAGCUCCAUCCUGAGUCUCCUGGUCUCCUACUUGGUCUUUGAAGGUCCCCCCAGACCCACAUGACCAUGCCUGGGCAGACCAGCAAGUGCCUGUCUUCACCCUGGGCCUAUUGCCCUCAAGGGGCUGCGGGAGCCCAGAUCAGGGACCCCAAGAGGCAGGGCUUCCUAAACAGGAGCUAUCUGAGCUGGGUCUUGAUGGUUGUGCAGGAGUUUGCAGCUGGAGACAGAGUGAGGAGCUCCUUUGCCCUCUGGGGCCGGGGCCAUGGCACACUCUGGCACCAUCCACCUCCCCGACUACCCCAUACCCAGUCAGUGGCAGAGUCCGGCCUCCUGUGUCUCCUGAGCAUCUUUUCCGUCCCUCUCUCCAUCCGCACUCUCACCACCAGGCCUCAGAGCCUCUCUGAGCAGCCCCUCUGCAUUCUUGCAG